AUAAUAACUCUAUGAAUUCUUUAGAGUUUCCUGCAGUGGACCGAAGUGGUCUACAUGCAACGUAUUUAACGGAACCUUGGGCAAAGGAUGCAGUUGAGUUUCCCUUUUGAACCUGUUAAGCGCGUUAUUGGCUGUAAGACAGGAUAUUCGAAUCCGCAAGCUGAAGGAACUCAAGUCGUCUCUCCA